rnacentral:rRNA from 1 species
UCACCUGUUUUAUCAAAAACAUAGUUUUUUGAUUUUAAUAUAAAAUUAUUUCUGCCCAAUGAAAAUAUUUUAAUGGCUGCAGUAAUUUAACUGUACUAAGGUAGCAUAAUCAAUUGUUUUUUAAUUUAAAACUUGAAUGAAUGAAUUUAUAAAAUAUAUACUUUAUUAAAUUAAUAAUAUUUAAUUUAUAGUUUAAGUUAAAAUUCUUAGAUUUUUUAAUUAGACGAUAAGACCCUAUAAAAUUUUAUAAUUAUUUAUUUUUAAUAAUUUAAAUUAAUUUAUAAAUUUAAAUAUUUAUUUUAUUGGGAGGAUAAUUUAAAUUAAAUUACUUAGAUAUUUUAUUUUACAUUAAUUUAUGAAUUUAAAGAUUUUUUAUUUAAAAUUAUUAGAUUAAAUUACUUUAGGGAUAACAGCGUAAUAUUAUUUGAGAGUUCAUAUUAAUAAUAAUGUUUGCGACCUCGAUGUUGAAUAAGA